rnacentral:lncRNA from 1 species
AUUCGAUAUUAGUAAAAAUCGGAAUUAACAAAUUAUAAUAAGAUAUCAUGUUACUCUUAUGGAAUAUAAACUCAAUACUCAUAACUUAUUUGUAUAAAUUCUCAAUUAAUUCUCUUAAAAUCCUUCCACGAAUACAUUACCUUUUAAUAUUAAUAUUGAACUUAAUUUGUCCCAAGGUUAAUAGAAAUACAAGAUUAGACCAUCAUGUAAUCGGGCUUGCUAGGAUUUUCAAUUUGAUGUAUCGUAUCGACUGCUGGGCAAGAGAGGGAAAUAUUGACGUCAUAGAUAAUAGAAAAGGUACCAAAUACAAAUUCACAAAACACCGAAAUUAAGAACUCAGGUUACGGUGUGGGCCAAAAGAGAGAAGUUUGGUAUCCUUGGAGUAUGAUAUUAUAUCUUAUUUACAUUUCACAAUAUAUAUAUUAUUACUAAUUUAUUAUUAUAAUUACGAUAAUAAUACUUAUUCGCUAUUCCGAAAAAGUAUAAUGUAUUUACGCAAUGAGACUGUCAGUUGUGCAGUUCCCGUUUGUGAUUCUCCUAACAGCCUAAUUCAUCAUCAUUUUAGAGAAGGAUCCCUCAAGAGGAAAAAAUGGGAAAGUGUUUGUCAUCGAAAGGACCCCUUAGGAAAAUACCUUCGAAAUUUGUGAGAAUCAUAUUGAGGAAAAUGAUUAUUAAAGGGAUUUAAAAGGUGAAUUGCUGGGACUACUUUCAAAAAGAAAAUUGAAAGAAAAUGCUAUCCUUUCCAGAGGUAUCAUACCUGGAGAAGGAUUUGAGCAAGCUCCAAGUAAAACGAAAUGAAUUAAGAUAGAGGGCCAUUUUGAAGAAAAUUCUAAUGAAAUAUAUUUGGAGACAUUAGACAAAUCAUCCCAAAACAACGCAAAAUCAAUUCAAACCCUUGUGUUAGAAAAGUUUAAUGCAUCUAAUCAAGCAUGUGUAUCCUGGAUUAUAUAAAUUAGUUGGGCUUCUAAUACCAGAAAAUAUCCACUCAUUCUAGAACUCUAGUCACUAAGGAAACUGAAUGCAGACUGACACGAAAAAGUGAAAAUCUUUCAAUCGGAAAAUAGAUUAUUAAAAUCCAAAUCUAAUUUUAAGGAAGCGAGGAAAGGAGAACUGGGAAAAGAGAUUUACUAAAUUUCAAUGUUAACUCAUUAUCAGUGGAAGAAGUUUAUAAAUGGAAUGACGAGGAUUUUGUUAAUACUUUUGUUGAUAAUGAAGUCUCUUGCCUCAAAAACCUACCGUUACAUUCAAUCCAGUAGUCUACUUCUGGUUCCUAGUAUAAUAAUCCUGAAACGGCGGAUCCGAAAUUUUAAAACAGCUCCUGGAAUACAAUCAAAUAUUAUUAAAAUUAUCACUCAACAAAUCAAAUCCAACGAAACUCCUAAUAGAAACAUAGCUGUCUUGUGCUUUGAUGAGAUGAAGCUCCUGACCAAUAUCAAAAAAGGACUUUCGAUGUGCCUAUGGAGUAAAUUUGGAUAUACGAAAGGAUAUUCUCCAAAGCAUGAUAAAUAUGAUUGGAACAAUGAAGCAAAUUAAGUAAAAGAAAAUGUUGAAGUGGUUUUGCCUAAGUCAUCUGCUUUGAAGCCCCAACAAAAGGGCAUAAGUAUUUCUUCAAAAUCUUUGACCCAUUGUAUCAAUACAUAAAUUGGCCUUCCAUAUAUAUUGACAUCUCGUUUAAAUCGAGAUUGGGUUGAAAACUUUUUUUCAAGAAUAAGAUAUGUAGGACGAACCCACUCUCAUCCUAAUGCGGUAGAGGCCAUAGAUCGAUUUUGGAUACUCGUAAUAAGCAGCUCAGAAAAAAUGGUUGUUGUGAAUACUCUAGUCAGAUUUGAAGUAGACUAAUAUUUUGUUUCUAUGUUUCAACAAACUACAGGUCCUAUUUUGAGCGAAGCAGAUUCAGAAGAUAAUAGAAUUUGAUCAAGACUUUGAUGACAUAAUUUAUCCUCAAAUCAUUAAAGAUGAGAUUGAGGAAGAUAUAAAUAAUGAUGAAAAUAUAAUGGAGCAACCAUCAAAUGAUUAACAUCGUUCUAAAACCUGUAAGAUUUAUUUAUGUUGCUGGAUAUGUGGCCAAAUCGUUAUAUCAAAAAUUUCCCACUCUGGGGUGUAAUACUUCCAGCAUCCAAGCUCCUCCAUUCCAUGGCUUAAAACAAUGCAAAGAGUGGGACUGUUUUAAAAAUCGGAAUAUUUUUUGGAAGUAUGCCAAAAAAUAUAGAAGUCACAUGGGAAUUUUUUGAUACCAAACCAUAUCUGAUGGAUCAAAUCAUCAGCAUAAUUGUGGAAAAGUAUCCAAAGGAAGAAUAUUAAGUUAUAAAACAUUUUAAUCGCAGUCGUACAUUCAUUAGACUAAAGUAUAUUAAUAUUGUAAACAAAAGUAGCAUAAAAAGAAAAAUAGCAAGUAACGUACGAAAAACUGCUCAUUUAAUUAGUUAAAAAAUAGAGACGGAAAUUAUAUAUAUAUUUUCUAGGCUCAUUAUUUAAUUUUAAACUAUAAACUUUCGAAAUUUGAGUGCCUGUGUUCUAGCUAAGUCUAAAAAUCUCGUCAAGCAAUUCCUCGGAAAUUGGAUGGCCAAUAUUUCUUUCGAAUUAAAAGAUUUCUCCUUUAGCACAACUGUAAUGCUAUUGGGAGCGAAGAUUUCUUCUUGUGUCAAAUCCGCAGAGUCAAUAUGAGAACUGUUCGACUGUGGAUGAAUCAGUUCUAUUUCAAGAAAGUAUUUGUUUUAAGAUAUUUAAGUUUAAUUAAAUCAUUACAUAAAAAUGUAUAUUAUGAUUUUUUUUAAAUUCAUAACCCUAGUAUAUGUAAUUAUAUUGAACUUUAUCACAAUCACAUAUUCUUUAAUGCCGGGAGUGACGAAGUAACACGAUCUUUUGUUAGAUUGAGCUGCAAACAUUCUCCAAGGAGUCUUCAUCUAGUAUCUUGUAUUUGAUGAAGAAUGAUUAUGAUAAUUUAUAGCCAUCCUAACUAACAAUAUAUAUGGAUUGAAUAUAUUGUUCUUGGAUUGAAUGAUAGAAUUAAUGAUGACAAGGCUGAAGAGUUAACAUAGAAUAAUCCACUAUGGAAAAAUGAUCCACUGUAGAAACGGAGACUUAGCUUCAUAUGCUUCACUACAACGUGGAAGAUCCUCAAUGGGUUUGAAUGUCUUUUAAAAAAAUGAAAACCUUGUCAAAUUGUAGAAUCAAGAAUGUAAAUUGUUUCAUUUUUUCUCCGAUGGAAAAUGUUAAUUAAACACGCAAAUACUUAUACACUGUGACGUCACAAUUAAAAGCGUGGUGGAAGUCAAACAUCAGUCGUAAACACCUUAUGAUAUAACCUUGUAUAUCUAUUAAUUUUGAUUUGUCCUUCAUAGAUUUUACAU